UACGUAGGGACCAAGCGUUGUCCGGAAUCAUUGGGCGUAAAGAGCGUGUAGGCGGCUUGUUAAGUCUUGCGUGAAAUCUCGGGGCUCAACCCCGAGCGGUCGUGAGAAACUGGCAGGCUAGAGUGCGGGAGAGGAGAGUGGAAUUCCUGGUGUAGCGGUGAAAUGCGCAGAUAUCUGAAGGAACAUCAGUGGCGAAAGCGACUUCCUGGACCAAUACUGACGCUCAUGUGCGAAAGCGUGGGGAGCAAACAGG
rnacentral:rRNA from 1 species